rnacentral:rRNA from 1 species
CCUACGGGUGGCAGCAGUGAGGAAUAUUGGUCAAUGGCCGUAAGGCUGAACCAGCCAAGUCGCGUGAAGGAAGAAGGAUCUAUGGUUUGUAAACUUCUUUUAUAGGGGAAUAAAGGUAUCCACGUGUGGAUAUUUGCAUGUACCCUAUGAAUAAGCAUCGGCUAACUCCGUGCCAGCAGCCGCGGUAAUACGGAGGAUGCGAGCGUUAUCCGGAUUUAUUGGGUUUAAAGGGUGCGUAGGUUGUUUUUUAAGUCAGCGGUGAAAGUUUGUGGCUCAACCAUAACAUUGCCGUUGAAACUGGAAGACGUGAGUGUGUUUGAGGUAGGCGGAAUGCGUGGUGUAGCGGUGAAAUGCAUAGAUAUCACGCAGAACUCCGAUUGCGAAGGCAGCUUACUAGGCCAUAACUGACACUGAAGCACGAAAGCGUGGGGAUCGAACAGGAUUAGAUACCCCAGUAGUC